rnacentral:rRNA from 1 species
CGAAUGGGGGAACCCAACAUGAGUUAUGUCAUGUUAUCGACAUGUGAAUUCAUAGCAUGUCAGAAGGCAGACCCGGAGAACUGAAACAUCUUAGUACCCGGAGGAAGAGAAAGAAAAAUCGAUUCCCUGAGUAGCGGCGAGCGAAACGGGAAGAGCCCAAACCAACAAGCUUGCUUGUUGGGGUUGUAGGACACUCUAUACGGAGUUACAAAAGAACAUGUUAGACGAAUCAUCUGGAAAGAUGAAUCAAAGAAGGUAAUAAUCCUGUAGUCGAAAACAUAUUCUCUCUUGAGUGGAUCCUGAGUACGACGGAGCACGUGAAAUUCCGUCGGAAUCUAGGAGGACCAUCUCCUAAGGCUAAAUACUCUCUAGUGACCGAUAGUGAACCAGUACCGUGAGGGAAAGGUGAAAAGUACCCCGGAAGGGGAGUGAAAGAGAACUUGAAACCGUGUGCUUACAAGUAGUCAGAGCCCGUUUAUGGGUGAUGGCGUGCCUUUUGUAGAAUGAACCGGCGAGUUACGAUCUGAUGCAAGGUUAAGCAGCGAAUGUGGAGCCGUAGCGAAAGCGAGUCUGAAUAGGGCGUUGAGUAUUUGGUCGUAGACCCGAAACCAGGUGAUCUACCCUUGGUCAGGUUGAAGUUCAGGUAACACUGAAUGGAGGACCGAACCGACUUACGUUGAAAAGUGAGCGGAUGAACUGAGGGUAGCGGAGAAAUUCCAAUCGAACUUGGAGAUAGCUGGUUCUCUCCGAAAUAGCUUUAGGGCUAGCCUCAAGUGAUGAUUAUUGGAGGUAGAGCACUGUUUGGACGAGGGGCCCCUCUCGGGUUACCGAAUUCAGACAAACUCCGAAUGCCAAUCAAUUUAACUUGGGAGUCAGAACAUGGGUGAUAAGGUCCGUGUUCGAAAGGGAAACAGCCCAGACCACCAGCUAAGGUCCCAAAAUAUAUGUUAAGUGGAAAAGGAUGUGGCGUUGCCCAGACAACUAGGAUGUUGGCUUAGAAGCAGCCAUCAUUUAAAGAGUGCGUAAUAGCUCACUAGUCGAGUGACACUGCGCCGAAAAUGUACCGGGGCUAAACAUAUUACCGAAGCUGUGGAUUGUCCUUCGGACAAUGGUAGGAGAGCGUUCUAAGGGCGUUGAAGCAUGAUCGCAAGGACAUGUGGAGCGCUUAGAAGUGAGAAUGCCGGUGUGAGUAGCGAAAGACGGGUGAGAAUCCCGUCCACCGAUUGACUAAGGUUUCCAGAGGAAGGCUCGUCCGCUCUGGGUUAGUCGGGUCCUAAGCUGAGGCCGACAGGCGUAGGCGAUGGAUAACAGGUUGAUAUUCCUGUACCACCUAGUAUCGUUUUAAUCGAUGGGGGGACGCAGUAGGAUAGGCGAAGCGUGCUGUUGGAGUGCACGUCCAAGCAGUAAGGCUGAGUGUUAGGCAAAUCCGGCACUCGUUAGGCUGAGCUGUGAUGGGGAGAGGAAAUUGUUUCCUCGAGUCGUUGAUUUCACACUGCCGAGAAAAGCCUCUAGAUAGAUAACAGGUGCCCGUACCGCAAACCGACACAGGUAGUCAAGAUGAGAAUUCUAAGGUGAGCGAGCGAACUCUCGUUAAGGAACUCGGCAAAAUGACCCCGUAACUUCGGGAGAAGGGGUGCUCUUUAGGGUUCACGCCCAGAAGAGCCGCAGUGAAUAGGCCCAAGCGACUGUUUAUCAAAAACACAGGUCUCUGCUAAACCGUAAGGUGAUGUAUAGGGGCUGACGCCUGCCCGGUGCUGGAAGGUUAAGAGGAGUGGUUAGCUUCUGCGAAGCCACGAAUCGAAGCCCCAGUAAACGGCGGCCGUAACUAUAACGGUCCUAAGGUAGCGAAAUUCCUUGUCGGGUAAGUUCCGACCCGCACGAAAGGCGUAACGAUUUGGGCACUGUCUCAACGAGAGACUCGGUGAAAUCAUAGUACCUGUGAAGAUGCAGGUUACCCGCGACAGGACGGAAAGACCCCGUGGAGCUUUACUGUAGCCUGAUAUUGAAAUUCGGCACAGCUUGUACAGGAUAGGUAGGAGCCAUUGAAACGUGAGCGCUAGCUUACGUGGAGGCGUUGGUGGGAUACUACCCUAGCUGUGUUGGCUUUCUAACCCGCACCACUUAUCGUGGUGGGAGACAGUGUCAGGCGGGCAGUUUGACUGGGGCGGUCGCCUCCUAAAAGGUAACGGAGGCGCUCAAAGGUUCCCUCAGAAUGGUUGGAAAUCAUUCACAGAGUGUAAAGGCAUAAGGGAGCUUGACUGCGAGACCUACAAGUCGAGCAGGGUCGAAAGACGGACUUAGUGAUCCGGUGGUUCCGCAUGGAAGGGCCAUCGCUCAACGGAUAAAAGCUACCCCGGGGAUAACAGGCUUAUCUCCCCCAAGAGUUCACAUCGACGGGGAGGUUUGGCACCUCGAUGUCGGCUCAUCGCAUCCUGGGGCUGUAGUCGGUCCCAAGGGUUGGGCUGUUCGCCCAUUAAAGCGGUACGCGAGCUGGGUUCAGAACGUCGUGAGACAGUUCGGUCCCUAUCCGUCGUGGGCGUAGGAAAUUUGAGAGGAGCUGUCCUUAGUACGAGAGGACCGGGAUGGACAUACCUCUGGUGUACCAGUUGUCGUGCCAACGGCAUAGCUGGGUAGCUAUGUAUGGACGGGAUAAGUGCUGAAAGCAUCUAAGCAUGAAGCCCCCCUCAAGAUGAGAUUUCCCAACUUCGGUUAUAAGAUCCCUCGAAGAUGACGAGGUUAAUAGGUUCGAGGUGGAAGCGUGGUGACACGUGGAGCUGACGAAUACUAAUCGAUCGAAGACUUAAUCAA